GGGUGAGUAAUGCAUAGAUAAUGUGCCCCUUAGUUCGGGAUAGCCACUGGAAACGGUGAUUAAUACCGGAUACUCCUUCUUGUUAUAAGACAAGUCGGGAAAGUUUUUCGCUAAGGGAUCAGUCUAUGUUCCAUCAGCUUGUUGGUGAGGUAAUGGCUCACCAAGGCUAUGACGGAUAUCUGGUUUGAGAGGAUGAUCAGACACACUGGAACUGAGACACGGUCCAGACUCCUACGGGAGGCAGCAGUGAGGAAUAUUGCACAAUGGAGGAAACUCUGAUGCAGCAACGCCGCGUGGAGGAUGACGCAUUUCGGUGUGUAAACUCCUUUUAUUAGGGAAGAUAAUGACGGUACCUAAUGAAUAAGCACCGGCUAACUCCGUGCCAGCAGCCGCGGUAAUACGGAGGGUGCAAGCGUUACUCGGAAUCACUGGCGUAAAGGGUGCGUAGGCUGGCUUUUAAGUCAGAUGUGAAAUCCAAUGGCUCAACCAUUGAACUGCAUUUGAAACUGAAAGCCUAGAGUUCAGAAGGGGCAGAUGGAAUUAGUGGUGUAGGGGUAAAAUCCGUAGAUAUCACUAGGAAUAUCAAAAGCGAAGGCGAUCUGCUGGGAU
rnacentral:rRNA from 1 species